rnacentral:rRNA from 1 species
AUGGUGAAGUUCACCGCACGCCGGAGCAUGCCCGAGCCGGUGGCGCCGGCACGGCCAACACCACGCGAGACCAAGAUCCUCUCCGACGUCGACGACUGUUAUGACCUACGAGUAUACUCUUUUGUGAUCGAGUUCUUCCACUGCCGACCAGGCGGCCAUCCGACGACGACGCCGGCGAAGGCCGUCAAGGCGGCCCUCGCGGAGUCUCUAGUGUACUAUUAUCCCAUUGCCGGUCGGCUGAGGGAGGUCCCCGGAAACAAGCUGGUGGUAGAUUGUACCGGAGAGGGAGCGGUGUUCGUGGAAGCAUCGGCCGACGUGGGCCUGGAAGAGUUUGGACAUCCGCCACCGCGGCCACCGUACCCAUGCGUCGAGGAACUCUUAUGCGAUGCAGGCGAUACGACAGUCAUGGUCGGCAAGCCCUUGUUCUUCAUCCAAGUAACAGAAUUGAUAGGCGGAGGGUUCAUACUUGGUUUCCAGGCAUGCCAUAGCAUCGUCGACGGCUUCGGAAUGAUCCAGUUCAUAAAAAGCAUAGGUGAUCUUGCACGUGGCGAGGUGCAACCGGCAGUGUUACCCGUGUGGGAGAGGCAUAUUCUGAUGGCACGCACUCCUCCACGCAUCACCGACAUCGACCCCGCAUACACACAGGUUCUAACUGGCUCUGAGUACGAUGCCAACAGGAUUGUCAACGACGUUAUGCUAUCAACGACAGUCGAGAGCAUGGUGCACAAGUACUUGAUCUUCAGUCCGAGAGAGAUAACUCAUUUACGAGGGUAUAUCGUCCCAUCGCUUCUCACCAAACCCGCCACCGCCUUCGAGCUUCUCACUGCUGUAAUGUGGCGCUGUCGGACGAUAGCGCUUGGCUACGAGGUCGAUACAAAAGUACGCCUCAUCUUUACAAUCAAUGCCCGUGGGAGAUGGAAGCGUGAUUUUCCCAUCCCACGGGGAUACUACGGAACGCCUUUGUAUACACCAUAG